AUUGGCGCAGAGGUUUACGUUUUGGGAAGAAAAUUAAACACACUCUCCUCGAGACAGACGCUGGAAUAGGUAAGCACUUCUUACAACUUCACAGGGCGGAAUGGUGACCUGAGGUGGCAGAAACGCUAGACUCGGCGAAGAAGCAGCUGGAUGCAGCCACAGUGCACCUCGAUAUAUUUUGCAAGGUUUUAUAAGGUUGGGUAGAAUAUUUCAAUGUGGGUCUAUUUACCAAUACACCAUUGAAAUUCAAUCAAAGUUUUCCAUAGCCAGAAUCAAGGCCAUGGCGGAAAUCUCAAAGAAAUUGAGUCUUUAAAGCAGGUAUCAUCAAACAUUUUCGUAUGGGCAGCACCAGAGUCCGGAACACGGUAUUGUUUAAAAACAAAAAAACUGCGGAUGCUGGAAAUCCAAAGCAAAAACAGAAUUACCUGGAAAAACUCAGCAGGUCUGGCAGCAUCGGCGGAGAAGAAAAGAGUUGACCUUUCGAGUCCUCAUGGUCAUUGUUUGUUGACUGCGUGACUACGAUGCUGUCAAAAUACUUUUCUAAGUAAAAACAAGGAGCACCGAUUAAACCUAGGAGAGUUGUGUGUUGGUGCCUGGCUUUCCCCAAAGUAACCAACAUUCUUCUCGAGGUCCAACUUUCACCAUGGCUGGGAGGAAAGCCCUAGCGGAGCCGUUCGCUGUCCAUUACCUGCGGGUGCUGAAAGAACUCCUCGCCUUCGUUCUCUUCAGUUACACCGUUUUACUGGGAGCUUUGGUGAUAGCUGGAUGGACCACUUACUUACUGAUCGUUAAGUGAUUUGCUUCUGGCCUUUAAAUCGGAAGAAAUGCUUCGAAUAAAAUGUAUGCAACGCUUUUAAGUAAUGAGAAACUCCGCUUAAUGUUCAAGAAGUAGAAGAUUAUUGCACUAUCCAUAGAUCAUGCGAGAACGUGAUGUAAUCAGGUACAAAUAAUGCAUGUAUUCAAUCCUUUUGGUAGUUUUAUUAAAUUAGAUAUUCAAUUUGCUGUUGUAUCAAGUGUGUAGACGCGAUAUUCACAGGAGGUAUAUAAAAAUGAAUAAAAAUAAAGCAAACACGUGACUAUGUAACGUGUAUUUGUGGCAUAGAAUGAAGUCUGUUUGUACCUGUUAAAUAUUUAAAGGAACAUUUUGGGUUCAGCGAUCUAACCCCCGUGGAAUUUUCUCCGUUGCGUUUGGGAUUUUGAUAAGGAAAAGGAAUUGGUUGGCCAAAAAAGGGAGCAAAUCUACAAAGCAAACGCACAAAAUGAGGUAAAACACUAAGGCGAAAAAUGAAGGAAUAUGAAAUGUCAAAAUUCAGAAAACGGGUUAAUGCAAAAUGACGUCAGCAAGAGGCUAGUAAUUCCGAACAAGAAAUUCCAAAAUAAAUGUUAAAAACUAGAUGGACAGCUAAGAAUAAAAGUUACUUCAAAUAGUGUUUAGUUUGCAUUCCAUUCUCAAACUUUAAAAACCAAUUCACCAAACUCGUUGUGGUCAGAUUCAUACUAUCCACAAGCCUGGCAUUAUUUCUAACAAUUUCCCUUAAAUUUUACUCCUGAGGAGAGAGUUUAUAUAUUUAUAAAAACAGACUUACUGGCACGCAGUUGUGGGCCCUAAAUAAUAAGUAUUGCAAAAUAAGGAUUGAAAAUUCAUCUUUAACGAAAAGUAAGAGAACGCUCUAAUCUAUUAAUUUCAAAAAGGAAAAAUAGAUAUUCACCACUUUGUGUUGAACAUUUUUCCCUACUUUAGUUUGUAGAAACCAUGUACGAACCUUUCUGUUUGUUAUUCAGGUUUUCCUGUGGAGUUUCAUUCUAAUAUUCUUCCCCCGCUAACCAUGCUGAGUCAUAAAAGUGUACAAAUACUCUACAAUUAUGAAUCGCAUGCAAAUAGUCUCACGCAUUGGUUCCUGUAUUUCAAAGUGGUUUGUUUCUCUGUGAUGUGAAAUUCUUUGAAAAGUUGUCUCAGAUUUUACACCACACUCCACCUUUAAACCGACCGCGAGCUUUCCGACUCUGUUCUGGCGGAAGGAAAUAGAACAGAUCAGGUUACAACGAGUCUCACUGCAUUUUAAAUUAGUAAUUGUGUUUUGAAUCUGCCUUAUGUUUGCAUUGUUUAGGAAUGUUUUAUUGGUGAUCAUACAGUGCGAUACGAAAUGUUUACAUAUUGUAUGUAUCAGCAACAAAUAGGUCAUAUCUGAAGAUCAGAGGCUGUCUGCGUGUCUCUAGUUUGCUCCAGCCUUUGGUGUUUGCAGCUAUUUUGUUAUCAGGUAGAGGGGGUUGAUCGCUCAGUCCUCUUUAUUGCACAUUAUUUCUUCCUCUCCAGGUUCGUACAGCUUCUGAGUUAAAUGGCGCGGGUGUAGAAAGGACUGGUUGCUUGCCAAUUGUUCAACCCCAGAGAUCAGAUUUUUGAGAAAUAAACUCUUUUGCUUCA